rnacentral:tRNA from 1 species
GCUCAGAUGGUGGAAUCGGUAGACACUGGGGACUUAAAAUCCCCUGGCAUUGCGCCGUGCGGGUUCGAGUCCCGCUCUGAGCA